rnacentral:snoRNA from 1 species
UGCGAUGAUGGUGUAAUUUGCGUCCGACUCUGGUCAGCGACAGAUGCCUGCUGUCUAGUUCUGGCACGGAGUGAUGACGAUAAUGGUGACUGAGCG